AUGGCUCAGGACGAACGCUGGCGGCGUGCCUAAUACAUGCAAGUCGAACGGUCUUUCUAUGGAAGCUUGCUUCCACUGAGAAGAUAGUGGCGAACGGGUGAGUAACACGUGGGUAACCUGCCCAUAAGAGGGGGGAUAACAUCCGGAAACGGGUGCUAAUACCGCAUAGUUUUCUUGAUCGCAUGAUUGGGAAAGGAAAGACGGCCUUUGUGCUGUCGCUUAUGGAUGGACCCGCGGCGUAUUAGUUAGUUGGCGAGGUAACGGCUCACCAAGACGAUGAUACGUAGCCGACCUGAGAGGGUGAUCGGCCACAUUGGGACUGAGACACGGCCCAAACUCCUACGGGAGGCAGCAGUAGGGAAUCUUCCGCAAUGGACGAAAGUCUGACGGAGCAACGCCGCGUGAGUGAAAGAAGGUUUUCGGAUCGUAAAACUCUGUUGUCAGAGAAGAACAAGUUGGAGAGUAACUGCUCCAGCCUUGACGGUAUCUGACCAGAAAGCCACGGCUAACUACGUGCCAGCCGCCGC
rnacentral:rRNA from 1 species